ACCGAAGGGGGCUAGCGUUGUUCGGAAUUACUGGGCGUAAAGCGCGUGUAGGCGGUUGGCCAAGUCGGGUGUGAAAGCCUUGAGCUCAACUCAAGAAAUGCACUCGGUACUGGGUGACUAGAGGACCGGAGAGGAUAGUGGAAUUCCCAGUGUAGUGGUGAAAUACGUAGAGAUUGGGAAGAACACCAGUGGCGGAGGCGGCUAUCUGGACGGUUUCUGACGCUAAGACGCGAAAGCGUGGGGAGCAAACAGG
rnacentral:rRNA from 1 species